rnacentral:rRNA from 1 species
GGGUUCGAUUAUGGCUCAGAUUGAACGCUGGCGGCAGGCCUAACACAUGCAAGUCGAGCGGAAACGAGUUAUCUGAACCUUCGGGGAACGAUAACGGCGUCGAGCGGCGGACGGGUGAGUAAUGCCUAGGAAAUUGCCUUGAUGUGGGGGAUAACCAUUGGAAACGAUGGCUAAUACCGCAUGAUGCCUACGGGCCAAAGAGGGGGACCUUCGGGCCUCUCGCGUCAAGAUAUGCCUAGGUGGGAUUAGCUAGUUGGUGAGGUAAUGGCUCACCAAGGCGACGAUCCCUAGCUGGUCUGAGAGGAUGAUCAGCCACACUGGAACUGAGACACGGUCCAGACUCCUACGGGAGGCAGCAGUGGGGAAUAUUGCACAAUGGGCGCAAGCCUGAUGCAGCCAUGCCGCGUGUAUGAAGAAGGCCUUCGGGUUGUAAAGUACUUUCAGCAGUGAGGAAGGGGG